GCCUACGGGACGCAGCAGUGAGGAAUAUUGGUCAAUGGGCGGGAGCCUGAACCAGCCAAGUCGCGUGAGGGAAGACGGUCCUACGGAUUGUAAACCUCUUUUGCCGGGGAGCAACGGGGUCCUUGCGAGGGCCCAAUGAGAGUACCCGGAGAAAAAGCAUCGGCUAACUCCGUGCCAGCAGCCGCGGUAAUACGGAGGAUGCGAGCGUUAUCCGGAUUUAUUGGGUUUAAAGGGUGCGUAGGCGGGACCUUAAGUCAGCGGUAAAAUUGCGGUGCUCAACGCCGUAGAGCCGUUGAAACUGGGGG
rnacentral:rRNA from 1 species